GCUGGUGUAGCUCAGUUGGUAGAGCAGCUGAUUUGUAAUCAGCCGGUCGAUGGUUCGAAUCCUUUCACCAGCU
rnacentral:tRNA from 1 species